AUUGAACGCUGGCGGCAGGCCUAACACAUGCAAGUCGAGCGGCAGCACGGGGACUUGUACCUGGUGGCGAGCGGCGGACGGGUGAGUAAUGCCUAGGAAUCUGCCUGGUAGUGGGGGAUAACGCUCGGAAACGGACGCUAAUACCGCAUACGUCCUACGGGAGAAAGCAGGGGACCUUCGGGCCUUGCGCUAUCAGAUGA
rnacentral:rRNA from 1 species